UUGGGCGUAAGCGUUUCGUAGGUGGGUUGGUAAGUUACCCUUCAAAGACUACGGCUCAACCGGAGGAAGGGGGGUAAGACUACCAGUCUUGAUAUUUGGUGGGGUAUCUGGAACUGAUGGUGUAGUAGUGAAAUACGUUGAUAUCAUCAGGAACUCCAAGGGCGAAGGCAGGAUACUAACCAAUUUAUGACACUGAGGAACGACAGCUAGGGGAGCGAAAGGGAUUAGAGACCCCUGUAGUCCUAGCCGUAAACUAUGCUCGCUAGGGAUUUGCAUUUAUGUAUAGUCCCGUAAGCUAACGCGUUAAGCGAGCCGCCUGGGGAGUACGACCGCAAGGUUAAAACUCGAAGGAAUUGACGGGGACCCGCACAACCAGUGGAGCAUGUGGUUUAAUUCGAGACGAAACGAAGGACCUUACCAGGCCUUGACAUUGUACCGUUUUAAGUCACUAGAAAUAGAGACCUAUCCCUAGAAAUAUGGAUGGUAUAACAGGUGUUGCAUGGCCGUCGUAAGCUCGUGCCGUAGGGUGUUCCCUUCAGUGGGGUAACGAGCGAAACCCUUGCCAAAUGUUGAAUAUUCAUUUGGGACUUUCUAAAUUUAUUUUAGAAGGAAGCAGAGGAUGACGUCAGG
rnacentral:rRNA from 1 species